rnacentral:lncRNA from 1 species
AACUUGGCGUUCUCGAGAAAACCUACACACGGGGUCUCUGAGUAAGCAGGUAGGAAGAACCGCAGUGUUCAUAGACUAGGCAGGCUCUCGUAGGCUGCGGCACUUUGGCCAUGAUGCCAAGGGUACUGGGGAGCCAUGGCAGGAUUUUAAGGAAAGGUGAAGAUGGACCAGCAUGUCCUUUAAAAAGAUCCCUUGGGCUGCUCAGUGGAGGAUGACAGAUCAAGACAAGUGAGGACAUGGGCAGGCAAGCCCAAUGAAUGACCUGGAGUUUGAUUCUUGGGUCUCACAUGAAGGACGGAGAGAAGCGUCUCCAGCAAGUACCCUCUGACCUUCAUACGUGAUCCGUGGCACUCAUGCAUGCACACACUGACCUUCAUAUGUGAUUCGUGGCACUCGUGCAUGCACACACAAUAAACAAUAAAAAUACAACUUUUAAAAAGCGAAGGAUAAGUAGGUGGAGGUGCCACACACCUUUAGCCCCAGCACUGGGGAGGAAGAGGCAGGUGGAUCUUUAUGACUUCGAGGCCACCCUGGUCUAUAGAGCGAGUUCCAGGACAUCCAAGGGAGGGUAUAGGGGACUUUCGGGAUAGCAUUUGAAAUGUAAAUGAAGAAAAUAUCUAAUAAAAAAUUGAAUAAAUAAAUAAAACAAGUGAGGAAUCGUGCAGAGAAGAUGAGGACAGGGGAGGGUGGGGUCCCGUAAAGAAAAUCUUUUUUUCUGUUAACAGUGUCUUACUGUGUAACCUGGGCUAGCCUGAAACUCAAAUCUUCUAGCCUCAGCUUCACAGGUGCUGGAGUCAUAGGCACACUUUGCCUAAUCAGCCAGAAUUUUUUUUUUUUAGUAUUUAUUUAUUAUUAUAUAUAAGUACAUUGUAGCUGUCUUCAGACACUUCUGAGGAAGGAGUCAGAUCUUGUUACAGAUGGUUGUGAGCCAUUAUGUGGUUGCUGGGAUUUAAACUCAGGACCUCUGGAAAAGCAGUCAGUGCUCUUAAUCGCCGAGCCAUCUCUCCAGCCCAACCAGCCAGAAUUUAGUUGUCUUGUGAGACGCUAACAAUUGAACACAGGGUCUUUUCCAUGCUAGACAAAUGCUCUAUCCCUUGUGUUUAUACCUAGCCAUGAGCCCACCAAGGUUGUCUGAUGAGUUAAAAAUUAUCAUUACAUUUUAAUCCAUUGUGCACAAUACAUGUAUGCAUGUAAUUGGCAGAAGUGUUAUCUCCUCCCACCCUGUGGGUCUAGAGGCGUGAAGUCAGGUUGUCUGGCUUAGUGAUAAGUGUCUAUUCAUCUUGAUAAAUGUCUACGCCAUCUUGCUGGUCCAAGCCCGUCAAGCUUUUAUGGAGAUGGGAUGUGUUGGC